rfam:Gasterosteus aculeatus cont1.003169, whole genome shotgun sequence.
UUAAAAGUGUAAUGUCAGUCGCUUUGGAUAAAAGCGUCUGCUAAAUGACAUGUA